CUGCGUGUUCAAGUCACGUCGGGGUCAC
rnacentral:piRNA from 1 species